rnacentral:lncRNA from 1 species
UCGAGUUCAUGCAACUUGUUAAAUCUUCCAUUUCUACUUUCAACCUUUAUAGUCGACAGUCCCUGACCCUGAAUUUCUGACCAAACCUUCUCUUCAGAAGUUCAAAUUAAGUGAAUAUAUUUGUCCAUCUUUACCAUAUGUCUGAAUAAAAGGUAGGAGUUUGUAUCAAUGAAAAAAAAGCAGCAAUGAAUAAAAGUAGAGCCUUCUUGAUCUAAUCAUCAAUCCAUGCUGUACCAUUUCCUCGUCUCAAGGCACCCAUCCUCCAUAUAUGAAUCGACGGAAACAUCUGGUCUCGUCUCACCACUUCACAUCCCCCAGAUCACCAUCAUAUCCAUGCUAUGAUCGGCCCAUGAUUCUCUCAGGGUCCAUGCCCAAGUUAAUGCCCACGAGCAGCUCCUAUCAGCAGAUGAAGAAACACUAUGAAGAGAGACAGCUGCU